rnacentral:misc_RNA from 1 species
GUGAUUUAGUCCUAUGACAGAUUUUGAGGAAAUUAAUUCUAUAUGAAUACAAAGUAAUAGAACUGGGAAAGGUUAAGUCCCCUGUUUUAGCAUUGUCAAUUGUAGAUGAGCAGAAAUUAGAAGAGGAAAAUCAGCUGUAGAGGGGCUGUGAAGGAGUUCUGUUUUAAGGAUUUCCAUUUUUGAGUCUCUUAUUUCUCGAGGAACAGUUUUACUUGAAAGCACAAAAUAUAGGGAACUAACAUUUUAAACAAUUAUCUUUGCUGCAUCAAACUAAACCAAGAUUUUUAGGAUGCCCAUAUCUUGGAACAAAGAUGUUUAAGUUUUUUUUCCAGUGCUCAUGUCAUGCAGCGAGAAGGACUUUGAAUUGUGAGAAAACUGAAGUUAUCUUGCAAUUCUUCAUGCUGAGAUCAUCUCUUAGCAGUCUUUCCCACAGGCAGUAAUCUCAACAGGAUAAUGGCGGUUCUGAUGCCUCGGGCAAAUGCUGAAUGCAACUCGAGUCUCUGAA